rnacentral:rRNA from 1 species
GCUAGCUCCGUGCCGGCGGCCGCGGGAUUACGGGGGGUGCAGGUGUGGUCCGGAUGUAUGGGGUUUAAAGGGUGCGUAGGCGGCCCGUUAAGUCAGCGGUGAAGUCCCACGGCUCAACCGUGGAACUGCCGUUGAUACUGGCGGGCUUGAGUUCGGUCGAGGCGGGCGGAACUGGCGGUGUAGCGGUGAAAUGCUUAGAUACCGCCAAGAACCCCGAUUGCGUAGGCAGCUCGCUGGGCCGAAACUGACGCUGAGGCACGAAAGCGUGGGGAGCGAACAGGAUUAGAUACCCGAGUAGUC